rnacentral:snRNA from 1 species
GUGCUCUUUUCAGUAGCACAUACUAAAAUUGGAACGAUACAGUGAAGAUUAGCAUGGCCCCUGUGCAAGGAUAACAGGCAAAUUCGUGAUGCAUUCCAUAUUCGC